rnacentral:lncRNA from 1 species
UUUUUUUACAUAAAUAAGGCCGUUAGUUUUCUCGUUUGAAUUGUUUUACAUUGUCUUAUCGGGGCCUAUUAUAUCUGACUAUGCGGUAUGGGCUUUACUCAUUGUUGAAGGCCGUACGGUGACCUAUAGUUGUUAAUGUCUGUGUCAUUUUGGUCUUUUGUGGAUAGUUGUCUCAUUGGCAAUCAUACCACAUCUUCUUUUUUA